CUGCGAGAUCAUGACCUGAGCCAAAGCUGGACGCUUAACUGACUGAGCCACCCAGGCGCCCCUCUUCCUUACCAAUUUAGAUGCUUUUAAUUUCUUGUUCCAGCCUAAUUGCCCUGGUUAAGACUUCUAAAGCUAUGUUGAAUAAAAGUGGUGAGAGUGGCCCACUUUCUGUACAUGUAAUACAUCUAAAAUGUCUAUUGACCUAAGUCUUUGAAAUCCAGUGUGUAUUUAUAGCAUAUCCCAGUUUGCACAAAUCCAGUUUUAAGUGUUUAACAGCCACAUGUGGCUAGUGACUACCAUACUGUUUGAACAGCAGAGAUCAAGGUUCUUGAAGGAGAAACCAUACUAAUCAGUCAUCUGUUUCUCCAGGGAACUUUACCUUUGGACUGAUUCAUUUGCAGAUAUGUAUUCAGACAGUCUCAUGUUAUAAAGGGACUAUUAAAUUCAAAUGAGCAGAUCAAGUCAUUUCAAAUUAUUUCAGCUACAGCAGGAAUAGAUCAACAAGGACCUGGUCAUUUGGCAUAUGCUCAGCAAUAAGAAAAGGACGGAGUCCUCUGCCAUCCAAAUUGAGGGCUGAGAGAGAUUUAGCAAAACUAGACAAGAAAACCAAAAGCACAAAACCUAAACAAACCUACGUUAAAAUUACCGACAGAAUUCGUCCUGGGUUUUGUAAGGAAUUCGGUAAGCAGACUCCUGCCAGAACUUGUAGCAGGUGGUCUGCUAACGAUGCUCCUUCCUCCCAGUCAUUACCUCUCCCCCCACCCAACCCUGCCAUUCCCAUCUGAAAGAAAACCGAGGGAACCUAAUCGCCCACAACCUCACUGCCCCCACCCCAGACACCCUGGCCUGGCAUUUAAGGCCUUUCCUCAAAUGGCUACUUUCUCCCACAGAACCUCCUUGCUGUGCCCUUAAUAGAUGGGGAACUUCCUACUCCUGUGAGAAAUUCCGAUGUUUCCCCUCCUCCUGGAACAUAUCCCAUGUCCUUCCGGUCUCAGGUCAAAUGUCAGCUUCUAGCCUGUACAAGCUCUGAUUCUCUACCCACUACAGCCCAAAUUAAUAAUAAACGCAUACAAAGAAAGAAGAGCAAAUGUUAAAGAAGAAUGUUAGCAGUUAUAAAUCUGGAUGGAAGGUAUAAAGAUUUUGCUGUACUAUUCAAUUUUUCUGUAGGUUUGGGGUUUUUUAAUAUUAAAAUUCAGUAAUAACAUUUGGGAGGAAAGUUAGGAAAAAAGACUAAGAACUCGUGAAGGAAAGUGCCUUCUCCUUGUUCACCUUUACUUCCUCAAAAGCUGAAGUAAUGCUGUUAGGAGAAUCAAAUCGGUAAAUGCUCGCUGAUUUGAAAUGUGUUAAAAUAAAUCUGAAGUGAAGAAAACGCGUGCUGAAUUUAGGAAGCAGGCGUCUGGCCUGUGGUUUGUGCGUUAAUGGCAGCACAGAAGGGCCCGUACAGGGGACGCUGGGCGUAGUGUGGAAUAUGGGAAGGGGUCCGUCCUUUGUCAGCCUGCUGAAGUUCACCAAGGACAGCCUUUACCUACACUCACAUUAACCCAGAUUAUGCCUCGUGUGCCUGGAAAAAUGAUAAGAGCAGACGUCUUCCUUGUUACCCGGGCCUCUGAUAACAAGCCCUCCUCUGUGCUUUCUUUUGGGAAGUUCUCUCUGAAGCCCUCGUGGGCUGAGGCCUCCUCCCAAGGUGAGCGCUGUCCCCUCUCUAGCCUGCCGGCUGCUCCCCGAGUGAACUCCCGUGUCUGAGCAAGGGCUAUUCUAAUUCCACUCGAAAGUGCCUGCAUUCGUCUUCAUCUCUCGGAAGUCACGUUUCCCUUGCCCUUGGGUUGAAGGCUUCUGAUGUUCAAUUACUCUUCCAUCUCCACACUGCCUGUGUCUCCACUCAGCCUGCUGUCCCAAAAACAAUUAGACCGAGAAAAUGCUGCAGCUUGGAGGAACCAAGGCUAAUGAGGCCAGUGAGAAAAGGUUUCCCAAGCACUUUCAAAUGUUGAGGCUUUUCUAAAAUAUGUUAUUUUUUUUCUUUGUUAAAAAGAAUUCUCUAAUGUGUUAGAUCACUAGCAUGUUCUACUCACAGGGUCAGUGCUGCAGUUAAAGAGCCAAUCAGACAGAACUGCUUUAUGACAAAAAAAGGACAGUCCAAACCCACAAAAUGUGGCCUAUUUAAAAAUGGUCUGUGUAGAAAUGGCCCAAGAUUUUCAGUGUGGAAAGUCCAGAUCAGGUGUUUUACUUAAAAAAAUUUUUUUUGUUUAUUUAUUUUGAGAGAGAGAGACAGAGAGAGAAUCCCAAGCAGAGCCCGCUGUGUGCUUCGAACUCAUGAACCGUGAGACCAUGACCUGAGUCAAAAUCAAGAGUUGGACACUUAACCGACUGAGCCGCCCAGGAGCCCCAGCCAGUGUGUAUCAGAUUUAAAGGUGAGGGCAAAGAAGGGAAUGUGAGUCCGUCCAAGGGCUGCUCUGAGCUGCUUUACUUUACUCUACUUCCUUCCACUCCUGGGGCCCUGCCUGGCCUCCUGUGGACACUGGCCCGUCUCCCAAACAUGCCCACAGGUGUGACAGGGCUGCACGUGGCAAAGCUGACAAUCCCAAAGAUUCCCAUCCCAAUCUGUGGCUGACUGGUGGGAGGACAUUCGGCAAGUUCUUUUGUUCUUCCUGCCUCACUCACUGCCCUCCCUGCAAAAGACGCGAACUUCCCACUGCAGUAUUCCCCCGGCUUUGGCUGACAGUUCUUCUGGUGACCUCAGCAUGCAACAAUACCUGUCUUCUGUCAUCUCGAUACAGCGGUCGUGAACAUGAAUGAGUUAAUGUCUGUGCCGGUCUUUGACUUCUGCAUGAAAGCACUGAAAAUUUGUUGUAUUAUUGUCAUCAUUUCACUGCACUGAGGAAGCUCUAAAGUGGCAUUUGCUUCUACCCUUCAAAUAUCAACAGAGAUUACUAAGUCUUAUCCUUCCAAAUAAAUCCAAGGAUAUAAACAACCUAUCCCAUCCCCUGUUUCCCUGUCAAGGGAUGAAGAAACCAUCGUGGCUGACUGUGUCUUUCUUUCUUCUUUAAGAGAGAUGUUUAGACCUGCUGGAGAAUAAGGAGGAACAUCCUCCAGAUCGAAGCAUAAUUUUAGGCAUCUGGUUACACCUCUGCCUGUGGCACCCUCUUUGCAAUUUCAAGUGAGACAGUGACUGGUGUCUUCUUGAUUCAUGACUUAAAUAUGCUUCAACAUUCUGUACUAAAUUGGCCAAUUUAGUCGGUCUUUUUCUCCCAAUGGUGACUGAAUUUAAAAAAAAAAUUUUGAAAUCAAAAAGGAAUAGUUUUUUUUUUCUUAAUACUUGUUCCAAAUGUAAACUGCCUUUUAAAAUAGUAGUUAAUCCUUUAUGGCUCUUAUAUGCAAUGCAAGAAUCGUGGUGUGUUUUAGGAUUAGUUAAUGUGGCUUAUGUAAAUGAUUUUAUAGGUCAUGAAAAAAUACAUAAAAUCUAAGUAAAAAGGACUCUUUUUAAUAAAAGACUCAUGUAUUAA